ACCUUUCGAAUAAGCACCGGCUAACUACGUGCCAGCAGCCGCGGUAAUACGUAGGGUGCAAGCGUUAUCCGGAAUUAUUGGGCGUAAAGGGCUCGUAGGCGGUUCGUCGCGUCCGGUGUGAAAGUCCAUCGCUUAACGGUGGAUCCGCGCCGGGUACGGGCGGGCUUGAGUGCGGUAGGGGAGACUGGAAUUCCCGGUGUAACGGUGGAAUGUGUAGAUAUCGGGAAGAACACCAAUGGCGAAGGCAGGUCUCUGGGCCGUUACUGACGCUGAGGAGCGAAAGCGUGGGGAGCGAACAGGAUUAGAUACCCUGGUAGUCCACGCCGUAAACGGUGGAUGCUGGAUGUGGGGCCCGUUCCACGGGUUCCGUGUCGGAGCUAACGCGUUAAGCAUCCCGCCUGGGGAGUACGGCCGCAAGGCUAAAACUCAAAGAAAUUGACGGGGGCCCGCACAAGCGGCGGAGCAUGCGGAUUAAUUCGAUGCAACGCGAAGAACCUUACCUGGGCUUGACAUGUUCCCGACGAUCCCAGAGAUGGGGUUUCCCUUCGGGGCGGGUUCACAGGUGGUGCAUGGUCGUCGUCAGCUCGUGUCGUGAGAUGUUGGGUUAAGUCCCGCAACGAGCGCAACCCUCGCCCCGUGUUGCCAGCGGAUUAUGCCGGGAACUCACGGGGGACCGCCGGGGUUAACUCGGAGGAAGGUGGGGAUGACGUCAGAUCAUCAUGCCCCUUACGUCCA
rnacentral:rRNA from 1 species